ensembl:lncRNA
CCUUGCCUGGCCUGACCUUGAGUGGCCUGGCCUGGCCUUACCUUGCCUUGUUCUUCCUUGCCUUGCCUGUCCUGGCCUUACCUUGCCUUGCCCUGCCUUGCCUGGCAUUGCCUGUCCUAGCCUGGCCUAUCCUUGCUUGGACUUUCCUUGCCUUGCCUGGCCUGCUGUUGCCUGUCUUGGCCUUGCCUGUCCUCGACUUGCCUUGCCUUUCUUUUGCCUGGCCUGGCCAGGCCUAUCCUAGCUUAGCCUGGCCUUUCCUAACCUCUCCUCGCCUGCCAUUGCCUUGCCUGGCCUUGCCUUGCCUGGCCUGUCUGGGCAUGGCCUUACUUUGUCUGGCCAGGCCUUGCCUGGCUUAGUUUUGUGUGGCCUGGCCUGGCCUGGCCUCGCCUGCCCUCAUGUCACCUGUACUCUCCUGGCCGUGCGUGUACUGGCCUGACCUUGCAUGGACUGGCCUUGCCUUGCCUGGCCUGUCCGGGCAUGGCCUUACUUUUUCUGGCCAGGCCUUUCCUGGCCUAGUUUUGCCUGGCCGGGCCUGGCCUGUUCUGUCCUGUCCUGUCCUUGCCUGUCUUCAGUGUCACCUGGCCUCUCCCGGCCGUUCGUGUACUGGCCUGACCUUGCGUGGCCUGGCCUUGCCUUGCCUCGCUUUGUCUAGCCUGCUCUGCCCUGGCCUGGUCUCUCCUCGUCUCACCUGGCCUCGUCUCACCCUGCUCUGACCUGCCCUCCGUGGCCUGGCCUGGACUUGCCUUGCCUUUCCAUGCCUCUCCCUCUCCCUUUCCCUUUCCCUCCUUGCCUGGCCUGGCCUUGCCUUGCCUUGCCUUGCUUUGCCUUGCCUUGCCUUGCCUGGCCUGGUCUGGCCUGGCCUGGCCUUGCCUUGCCUGGCCUCGCCUGGCCUGCCUGGCCUGUUGUUUCCUGGCCUGGUCUUGCCUUGCUUUGCCUUCUUUCACCUGGCCUUUUCUGGUCUCGCCUGGACUCGCCUUGCCUUGCCUGGUCUGGCAUCACCUAGCCUCAUCUGACCUUUGCUUACCUCGCCUAAACUUGCCUGGCCUUUCCUCUCCAUGCCUUACCUGGCCUGGCCUUGCCUUGCCUGGCCUGGCCUUGCCUUGUUUGUCCUGGCUUGGCCAGGCCAAGUCUAUCCUUGCCAUUUUUGGCCUGAACUGCAGUGACCUGUCCUGGCCUUGCCUUGCCUGUCCUGGCCUUGCCUUGCUUGUCCUGGCCUGGCCUGGCCCGGUCUAUCCUUGCCAUGCCUGGCCUGAACUACACUGACCUGGCCUGGCCUUGCCUUGCCUUGUAUGGCCUGUCAACUUUUGAUUAUGUAUUAGUUUGACCUAUAUCUAUAGCACGACUUCUUCGGACAGUGUGCAAGUUAGGUGGAGCGAUCCCCCUUGCACCAGGGUGUACGCGCGUCACCAAUAAACACAUGCCUGCUCUAUAUCCUUCCUGGCUAUAGGGUCUGAUUUCCGCACGUCAAGAGCUGCUUGUGUCCUGGGAGGAGAGCGAGCCGUUCCCUGUGUCUGUCAGAGGAGUGAAGGUGCCAAAAUGCCGGCCCAUCUGGGCAGGUGGGUGCAGCAGGGCCCAGAACGCAGGGAGGGGAAGCCAGAAGAACUGCGUGCUGCCGGGCUUCCUCCAGCUGG